rnacentral:tRNA from 2 species
GCCCUCGUGGCGAAAUUGGCAGACGCGCAUGAUUUAGGAUCAUGUGAGGUUAAACUCUUAGAGGUUCGAGUCCUCUCGAGGGCA